rnacentral:rRNA from 1 species
UACGUAGGGUGCAGGCGUUAAUCGGAAUUACUGGGCGUAAAGCGUGCGCAGGCGGUUUCUUAAGUCAGAUGUGAAAGCCCCGGGCUUAACCUGGGAACUGCGUUUGAAACUGGGAGACUAGAGUGUGGCAGAGGGGGGUAGAAUUCCACGUGUAGCAGUGAAAUGCGUAGAGAUGUGGAGGAACACCGAUGGCGAAGGCAGCCCCCUGGGUCAAGAUUGACGCUCAUGCACGAAAGCGUGGGGAGCAAACAGG